rnacentral:lncRNA from 1 species
UGAGGGGUUUUUGGUGAGGGAAAUUGAUAUUUCUUGAAAGUAAGGCCUUUGAAUUUUUUUCCUUUGAGUUUUCAUGCUUUUGAGUAUUUUUUGAGAAUAUAGCCUUUGUAUUUUCUUGAAGAUGUAACAAGACUCAUAAGCAAAAAUGAUUAAGCUUUUUAGGAGACCUACAACUAUUCUCAAGCAAUUUAUUAGUAAACAUAAUUUAUAGUCA